rnacentral:lncRNA from 1 species
UCAUUAAUAAAAUCCAUAGUUAAUGUGACAAACAAUCAUAUGUAUUUCUAUGAGAUGCCAAUAAAAUUCCAUCUCAUAUUCACAUAAUGAAAAUGAGCUUAAAACGUGAUUUACAUGUACAAUGUUCUAAUCUAGCAGAAGUCAGAAUGAAUAUUUCAUUUGGUUGUGAUGCUAAGACUGGGAAAACUUCAACAUGACCGGCAUUUGCUUAGCAUCAAUCACCAUUGUCAUCCAAAUCAACCUGCACAGGAAAUAAUAUAAAUCAUUGUAAUUAUUAAUUACAGAUUUACACUAGAACAUAAGAGGGGGAAAAACAUCCAAAAUUUGUGAACCUUCAAAGUGAACAUUAUUGCCAAGAACUAAUAUAGAAACAAGGAUUGAGAUAUCAAUGCAUGCUCAUGAACUGAUUAUUAGAUCAUUAUUUAAGCUUAUAUGCAUCUAAGACCAUGAUAUAAUAAUAUAAUAUGUAUAUACCCACAUAUUAUAAACUAUAAGAGAAAUCAUAUCAUGAUUACCUCAGGGUUGUUGUUCAAAGCAACAGCUAGUGCCAAGUUUAGUCAACCAAGAAGACCCUGGAAAUUAUGAACAAAGAAAAGGAGAGAUGUAAACAUGAUUCUUCGAUCCUCAUAUGAAUAGUUUUGAUCUCAUAGAGUAUGAUUGAUACAUUUUAGAAACUUCAAGAAGAGAGAAUCACAAUAUAACUAAAAUUUCCAUAUUAUAUUUAACUUUUAAUAUAAGGAUAAGAAAGAAACACCAUAUAUACUUUACAGGUAUAAAUGCUAAAAACAAAUCAUGUAUUUAAAUUUUGAAUCUUACUCGAAAGAUUGGUUUUACGAAAAGAUGGCGGAAACGGUUAUACGAGAUCUCAAACUAGAAUCUGCAGGGUCAUAUCUCUCUCUGUCUUUACCUAACAAUCAUUACAAACAUGUAACAGGUCAUAUUUUUAAUUCCAUAGUAAACCAACAAACAUUGCAAUGCCCAUUCUGCCAAAGUCAUUAUUCCAAGAAGAUUUUGGCAAAAAAAAUUACAAAAAAAUUUGCAACCAAAUUAUGAUUAUCAUAUAGAUGUAGCUGAAAAGUAAAGGAUAUUGCCUUACCUGCCACACUAUUAAUGAUUCCCUUGAACAAGACUUGACAAUGGUAAAAAGAUAAGUCUAGUAAAAAUGGAUAUGUCAAAUUCAAAGGUCAGGGUAUGUCAAAGCCACAAAUAAGGAGCAUGGAUUGACAAGACAAAAAAGUAAGGGGAUCUUGUGUAGAGUCAUAUUUCAUAAAACAAUAGGAACCUGUAACGAAUCACUCCUUAUAUGACGGGAUAACAAAAAUUUCAUCCAAAGGAUGCCCAACAUCAAUGUCCUGCAGUGCAAACCAUAGUAAUCUCCAUGUACAAAUUACAUAAUCAAAAUACAAUUCAAUGUAGCAAAAGCAAAGUGAAAAAAAUAAAUCAAUGUGAAUGAGCUAAUGGACUCAAAUAAUUUUAUAAGAUUAUAAUUCAAGCCUCAAUAUUUCUACUGUAAACUAUACAAAAUGCUACAAAGCAGCUAUAAAUUGAAAACCAUAUAACAUAUCAACAAACACAUACGGAAUUCAACACAUAGAGUCACUC